rnacentral:rRNA from 1 species
UGGGAUGACGUCAAAUCAUCAUGCCCCUUAUGACCUGGGCUACACACGUGCUACAAUGGUUGGUACAACGAGUUGCGAGUCGGUGACGGCGAGCUAAUCUCUUAAAGCCAAUCUCAAGUUCGGAUUGUAGGCUGCAACUCGCCUACCAUGAAGUCGGAAUCGCUAGUAAUCGCGGAUCAGCACGCCGCGGUCGAAUACGUUCCCGGGCCUU